UACAGAGGUCUCAAGCGUUGUUCGGAUUCAUUGGGCGUAAAGGGUGCGUAGGUGGCGGGGCAAGUUGGAUGUGAAAUCCCGGAGCUUAACUCCGGAACUGCAUUCAAUACUGCCUUGCUAGAGUACUGGAGAGGAGAUUGGAAUUUACGGGUGUAGCAGUGAAAUGCGUAGAUAUCGUAAGGAAGACCAGUGGCGAAGGCGGAUCUCUGGACAGUUACUGACACUGAGGCACGAAGGCCAGGGGAGCAAAGCGGG
rnacentral:rRNA from 1 species